rnacentral:tRNA from 2 species
GGGCCCGUGAUGUAGUCCGGAUAGCAUAAUCGGCUUCGGACCGAUAUACGAGGGUUCGAAUCCCUCCGGGCUCG